UACCCUAGCUGUGUUGGCUUUCUAACCCGCACCACUUAUCGUGGUGGGAGACAGUGUCAGGCGGGCAGUUUGACUGGGGCGGUCGCCUCCUAAAAGGUAACGGAGGCGCUCAAAGGUUCCCUCAGAAUGGUUGGAAAUCAUUCAUAGAGUGUAAAGGCAUAAGGGAGCUUGACUGCGAGACCUACAAGUCGAGCAGGGUCGAAAGACGGACUUAGUGAUCCGGUGGUUCCGCAUGGAAGGGCCAUCGCUCAACGGAUAAAAGCUACCCCGGGGAUAACAGGCUUAUCUCCCCCAAGAGUUCACAUCGACGGGGAGGUUUGGCACCUCGAUGUCGGCUCAUCGCAUCCUGGGGCUGUAGUCGGUC
rnacentral:rRNA from 1 species